UACGGAGGGUGCAAGCGUUAAUCGGAAUUACUGGGCGUAAAGCGUGCGUAGGCGGUUUCUUAAGUCUGCUGUGAAAUCCCCGGGCUCAACCUGGGAAUGGCAGUGGAUACUGGGAGGCUAGAGUGUGUCAGAGGAUGGUGGAAUUCCCGGUGUAGCGGUGAAAUGCGUAGAGAUCGGGAGGAACAUCAGUGGCGAAGGCGGCCAUCUGGGACAACACUGACGCUGAGGCACGAAAGCGUGGGGAGCAAACAGG
rnacentral:rRNA from 1 species